AGGCAGCAUAUAUCAAACUUCAGAGUCUAUCCAGCUAUCUGGUUCUACGCUCUCGAGUGGUAUGUUAAUGUCAGGUAUAACGGUUGCUUCUGCUUCGCGCGAGUCUAUGUCCAUGCGUCCCAGCUCAGGCACAGACGGUUGGGGGGUACUGGCUCCAGAACAGGUGUCCUCCGACCGACAGUGCGGUUCAUCUAAACUUCUGGGGCUUGCUUCUGUGUUGUCCUGGUGGGAUGAAACUGGCAGUCCUGCUUCACGCUCAUCUCGUUUCAUCUCAGGCUGAUCAGGAGCAGGCAAUUCGAGUAGUAUGUUAAUGUCAGGUAUAACGGUUGCUUCUGCUUCGCAUGAGUCUAUAUCCAUGUGUCCCAGCUCAGGAACUGGCGGUUGGUGGGUAGCAGCUCCAGAACAGGUGUCCUCUGACCGACAAUGAGCUUCAUCUAAACUUUCAGGGCUUGCUUCUGUGUUGUCCUGGCGGGAUGAAACUGGCGGUUCUGCUUCACACUCAUCUCGUUUUAUCUCAGGCUGAUCAGGAGCAGGCAAUUCGUGGGGAGCGGCUCCAGCACUGGCAUCCUGCGGCUUACCAUACGGUUGAUCUG
rnacentral:lncRNA from 1 species